rnacentral:rRNA from 1 species
GACGAACGCUGGCGGCGUGCUUAACACAUGCAAGUCGAACGGAAAGGCCCCUUUGGGGGUCCUCGAGUGGCGAACGGGUGCGUAACACGUGAGUAACCUGCCCUUGCCUUCGUUUUAACUUCAUUAAACUGGGGCUAAUACCGGAUAGGAAUCCUUUCUGCCUGCUGGGGGUUGGAAAGCUUCGGCGGUUUUGGAUGGACUCGCGGCUUAUCUGCUUGUUGGUGGGGUAGUGGCUUACCAAGGCUUUGACGGGUAGCCGGCCUGAGAGGGCGAACGGCCAAAAUGGGACUGAGGUACGGCCCAGACUCCUACGGGAGGCAGCAGUGGGGAAUAUUGCACAAUGGGCGGAAGGCUGAUGCAGCAACGCCGCGGGGGGGAUGACGGGCUUCGGGUUGGAAAACGCUUUCAGCAGGGGCGAAGCUUGUGGUGACGGUACCUGCAGAAGAAGCACCGGCUAACUACGUG